rnacentral:rRNA from 1 species
GACGAACGCUGGCGGCGUGCUUAACACAUGCAAGUCGAACGGAAAGGCCCUGCUUUUGUGGGGUGCUCGAGUGGCGAACGGGUGAGUAACACGUGAGUAACCUGCCCUUGACUUUGGGAUAACUUCAGGAAACUGGGGCUAACACCGGAUACGACCUCCUGCUGCAUGGUGGGGGUUGGAAAGUUUCGGCGGGUGGGGAUGGACUCGCGGCUUAUCCGCUUGUUGGUGGGGUAGUGGCUUACCAAGGCUUUGACGGGUAGCCGGCCUGGGAGGGUGACCGGCCACAUUGGGACUGAGAAACGGCCAAGACUCCUACGGGGGGCAGCAGUGGGAAAUAUUGCACAAUGGGCGGAAGCCUGAUGCAGCAACGCCGCGUGCGGGAUGACGGCCUUCGGGUUGUAAACCGCUUUCGCCUGUGACGAAGCGUGAGUGACGGUAAUGGGUAAAGAAGCACCGGCUAACUACGUG